CAGUAGCCGCGGGAAUACGUAGGUGGCAAGCGUUGUCCGGAAUUAUUGGGCGUAAAGGGCUCGCAGGCGGUUUCUUAAGUCUGAUGUGAAAGCCCCCGGCUCAACCGGGGAGGGUCAUUGGAAACUGGGAAACUUGAGUGCAGAAGAGGAGAGUGGAAUUCCACGUGUAGCGGUGAAAUGCGUAGAGAUGUGGAGGAACACCAGUGGCGAAGGCGACUCUCUGGUCUGUAACUGACGCUGAGGAGCGAAAGCUAGGGGAGCAAAUGGGAUUAGAGACCCCGGUAGUCCCUGUCUCUUAUAC
rnacentral:rRNA from 1 species